rnacentral:rRNA from 1 species
UACGGGGGGAGCAAGCGUUGUUCGGAUUUACUGGGCGUAAAGGGCGCGUAGGCGGCGCGGGAAGUCAACGGUGAAAGCUUGGGGCUCAACCCCGAGUCGGCCGUCGAUACUCCCGUGCUUGAGCACUGUAGAGGCAGAUGGAAUUCCGGGUGUAGCGGUGGAAUGCGUAGAGAUCCGGAAGAACACCGGUGGCGAAGGCGGUCUGCUGGGCAGUUGCUGACGCUGAUGCGCGACAGCGUGGGGAGCAAACAGG